UAUGGUAAGACAAAUUUAAACAAGGAUGAACCUCAUUUUAAAUGGCCCGCUUUGAAAAUUCAAUGCUGCAAAACGAGACAAAUGUAGAGGUGGAAGAUCAUGUGUAUUAGGUAACGCCGUUAGUAACUAUCGCUAAGAACGCGCACGCGCAUUUUUAUCGAUUCUUAUUGGCCCAUCCAUAUGCAAACUUUCUCAUCUCUAAGCUCACUAACUCUUCUCUAAGCAUAUUUACUUUUUCGCCGCCACAUUUAAGCUGUAAAAAUAUCAUUAUUGGAAUUUUACAAAAGAGGCAUAAAGACUUUGAAGAAAACAGAGAACAGAAUACAGAGAAAAUCGAGAACUUCGACGUGUGAGGCAGCGAAAAGUGUUCAUCGUGAUCGGUAACAAGGCGCGACCAUGUGCCGUUCCAGGCCAAGGUGGCCGACUGUGUUUUGGUUCUAUAAGCACGGGGAUGAAGCCAAAUCGAUCUCUACACUGUGAGCAUGGAUAUCAGGCCUACUACACAAGGACGGACUUGUGGCUUCAACGAACUGCUCAAUCUGUCCCUUGGCAUACAUUAAACGCUGCCUGAUCACCGUGAUAUGACUAAACUCCAAGGCUAUCAACGUGUAGCCAGUAAACUCCGCGGGCGUAGAUCAGUCGCCGAACGAGACAAAAUUACGGAAGCUGAAAGGAAGCCUACUGAAUGUUCAUCCUGCAGUCUACGCUAGACAACUAUUAUACCAGGCCACCGCCCUCGGCCUUUCAAUUGCUGCCGCUGUAGCCUUUGGUUACGUUAUUUAACAAAUAAGAAAAGUCUUUUGUUUCGUAAUAUUUAAGGAAAACUUUAAAUUAUGUCAUAUUGUAAAAUCUACUUAUUUAGGUCGUUGGAGA